UGGUAGGCCUGCCGUUCUGGCUGCCAGGGGCGCCUAACCGUGCCCUCGGCGUGUGCCUACCAGUGGAGCAUUUGAACUCAAGAGAAGAUUGAAUGUCUGAGCAUUUAUGCGAAUUAUACAAAACUUUCAACAACGGAUCUCUUGGUUCUGGCAUCGAUGAAGAACGCAGCGAAAUGCGAUAAGUAAUGUGAAUUGCAGAAUUCCGUGAAUCAUCGAAUCUUUGAACGCACAUUGCGCCCUCUGGUAUUCCGGGGGGCAUGCCUGUUCGAGCGUCAUUGCAAACCCCUCAAGCACGGCUUGUGUGUUGGGCCACCGUCCCUCUUGUGGACGGGCCUGAAAUGCAGUGGCAGCACCGAGUUUUGGUGUCUCAGUGUAUGGGAAUCUCUAUCACUUCAAGACCCAAUCAGUGUUGAUCAUCAGAUUUUUUCUAGUUUGACCUCGGAUCAGGUAGGAGUACCCGCUGAACUUAAGCAUAUCAAUAAGCGGAG
rnacentral:sRNA from 1 species